rnacentral:rRNA from 2 species
AACGCGAAGAACCUUACCAGCCCUUGACAUCCCGGUCGCGGACUCCAGAGACGGAGUUCUUCAGUUCGGCUGGACCGGAGACAGGUGCUGCAUGGCUGUCGUCAGCUCGUGUCGUGAGAUGUUGGGUUAAGUCCCGCAACGAGCGCAACCCCCGUCCUUAGUUGCUACCAUUUAGUUGAGCACUCUAAGGAGACUGCCGGUGAUAAGCCGCGAGGAAGGUGGGGAUGACGUCAAGUCCUCAUGGCCCUUACGGGCUGGGCUACACACGUGCUACAAUGGCGGUGACAAUGGGAUGCUAAGGGGCGACCCUUCGCAAAUCUCAAAAAGCCGUCUCAGUUCGGAUUGGGCUCUGCAACUCGAGCCCAUGAAGUUGGAAUCGCUAGUAAUCGUGGAUCAGCACGCCACGGUGAAUACGUUCCCGGGCCUUGUACACACCG